GAUGAACGCUAGCGGCAGGCCUAAUACAUGCAAGUCGAACGAUACUUUCCAGCUUGCUGGAAAGGAAAGUGGCGCACGGGUGCGUAACGCGUAUGCAACCUACCUUAAUCAGGGGGAUAGCCCGAAGAAAUUCGGAUUAACACCGCAUAAAAUCACAGUACAGCAUUGUACAAUGAUCAAAUAUUUAUAGGAUUAAGAUGGGCAUGCGUGACAUUAGCUAGUUGGCGGGGUAACGGCCCACCAAGGCGACGAUGUCUAGGGGAUCUGAGAGGAUGACCCCCCACACUGGUACUGAGACACGGACCAGACUCCUACGGGAGGCAGCAGUAAGGAAUAUUGGUCAAUGGAGGCAACUCUGAACCAGCCAUGCCGCGUGCAGGAAGACAGCCCUCUGGGUCGUAAACUGCUUUUAUUCGGGAAUAAACCUGCUUACGUGUAAGUAGCUGAAUGUACCGAAGGAAUAAGGAUCGGCUAACUCCGUGCCAGCCGCCGCCGUAA
rnacentral:rRNA from 1 species